UACCCUGGGUGCCAGAGGUUUUUCCACGCUCGCAACGCAAAAAAAUAUAGUGACGGACGGGCGAGCGGGAAAAACCUCUGGAACCAUGCACGCUAUUUUACUAGUUUUUCCCGCUCGCCCGUCCGUCACUAUAUUUUUUUGCGUUGCGAGCGUGGAAAAACC